rfam:Streptomyces sparsogenes DSM 40356 contig00177, whole genome shotgun sequence.
GCGUGGGUCGGCCCGCUGUACGGAAUCAGUGGGCUGGGGGACGCCGCCGCCUCAUUCCCCGCGGGCGGCGGAGCGGUCCGGGAGGCGGAUGCCGCCUCCCGGACUGUC